GAGGGACCUUGUGUAAUUCCCCUCUAUACCCUCAGCGCUCAGCACAGUGGAUGACACCUACUAAGGAUUGGAGAUCCUGAACAAAUCAGAAAAGGGGAUAUAUUCCCAACUGCUUUGUCUUGAUGUUGGUGGUAUUGAGUAGGAAGUCGGAUGGACAAGCUGAAGUUUAAAAGAUAAAUCAGGGCUGAAUACAGUGCAAAAGUUUUCAUGGUGGAGAGUCAGGACACAUUACAUGGACAAAUGGAGCUCCCAGAGGGCUUGUGUGGAGCUCAGGAAAAUGUACAGCUUAAUCUGCUGGGCACCACAAUUCUGCUGCUUCAACUCAUUUGCUAUGGAAAAUGAGGAGUCAACAAACAAGGGAGAGAAACAGAGAUGGGGGCACUUCAUAGAGCACUUUAAGAAAUGGAAUGAGCAGUACAGAGUGUCAAGUGAAGGCAGAAGUUAAGAAAGAUGGGAAGUCCAUUGGAAAUGACCAGGAGAUCAUUGACAUUACCUGCUGAGAUAUUAAACUGAAUAAAUGCUCUGG